AUCAUUAAUGCAUUAAUCAACUUAAUGUUGAUUGUUUUGAUUUCAAAUUGUGCAUUAAAUAUUUUAGCAUAACCCUUAUGAUAUAUGAAUUUUUUAUUGGUUCUGAUGAAACAUAUUUACAAUCAAAAGAGUAUGAGUUGGAUGAAAUUGACUAGAAAAGGAUUUUGAAGACAACCAAGAUUUUGUAGGUCCUUUUGAGAAGGUAAUCAGGGUCCUUAUUUUUAUAUAGUAGGGUUUUUCUUUAUCACGCAGCAUUUUGAUUGACAUAGUUCUAUUUAUGUCUAUGGGUGGGAUGGGGAGAAGGCCACUAAAGCCAUUUUCUGUUAAUCAAUAACACAUUAUCUACUAAUUGUUAUUUUAUUUUUGUCUGACUUUUACUUGCAUUUGUUGAAUAGAUAUGUUUUUAGUAUCGAACAAAUUAUGUCUCUUAACUUAUGGUGUGCUUGAUCAGACAUGUAUUGGAUUCAUACUUAACAUUUGCUUGUAAACUUAAACAUCACUUCAGUACUAACCGUUGGUUUAUGGAACACUUUAUCUUGGGUUAUUUUUGAGCUUUAAUUGUACAAUGCCAAUUUGGCCCACAUCUGUAGAGGAGAGACCAUCUACAGAAUCAGCCCUACCUCAAUUCCUUGGAGAGGAAGUUUUCAAUCCCCAAGUGUAAAAGCAAUGCUCUGCCCUAAUUGAAGGGGACGAGCAACCGGUCCACUUUAAUCCUUAAGGACGUGGUGGCUUACACCAAACCUCGUGUAAGCAACUUCAUUGCUGCUGGGAAUAUGUAAGGUGCUAAAAUAUAUACCUGUAAGCAUUCUUUUUAAUGGUCAAGUUGAACCUUGAAAAGAUAUUAUUUUUGUCUAUUCUUAGUCAUAUUUUUCUGACAUGGCUUUGCUAUUUUGCGCACAUCCAAUGUUAAAUUCUUCAAUUAUGAGCAAUCCUUGAAAAGGUGAGUAUGCAUUUCAAUAUCAUUGUUCCAAGGAGAGUGGUCCUACCACAUUUUCCAUAAGCUCUGCUCUGUUGUCCCUUCUGGUCCCCAAGCCUUGUAGUAAGCAAGACCUGAUGCUUACAAUGUUAGCGCAGAAGGUACGAGCGGGAAAUGAUGAGGUCACCAAAUCUCUGACACUUGAACAGGUUCAUAAUUUCAAAGAUCAAUAUUACUUGCAUAAUGCUUAUUUUCAGGAUGUUUGGAUUGCUAAACCAUCACACUUAAUGGUAUGUUGAUUUUCCCUCAUAUUUAGGUAAUUGACAUAAGAUACUUCUCAAAAUAGCGCCUGCAAGGAUUACAAUUUGUGAAUUCAUAAGUAAAUUCUUCUGCCUUUAUUAUCUAUAUGAUUAAUAAACUUAAUGCUUACUUCUUUCCUUGCAAAUUGUGCAUCAAAUAUUUUAGCAUAAAUAUUCUAAUAUUGGAAUUUUGCUAUUGGUGCUGGUGAAACAUAUUUACAAUCACAAGAGUAUAAGUUAUAUUGAAUAGACUGGAAAAGGGUAGAUUUUGAAAACAACCAAGAUUGUGUGGGAUCUGUGUUCUUAUUUUGACUGGCAUAGUUCUAUUUAUGUCUAUGUGUGGGAUGGGGAGACGGGGCACUAAUGUUAUUUUCUGUUAAUCAAUAACCCAUUAUAUCUGACUUUUACCUUAAUUUGUUGAAUAGAUAUAUUUUAGUAUUGAACAAAUUGUGUCUCCUUACUCUUAUGUUUACAAUGGUGUUCUUGAUCAGACACCUAUUGUAUUCAUAUCUAUACUGCCAAAGCUACAUAUUUAACAUAUGCUGCUAAACUUCAGCAUCACUUCAGUACUAACCGUUGAUUUAAUGGAGAAACGGGUGGAACAUUCAGCAUUAAACAUCAUGCCGGGAUGGUUAGUGUACUUGUCAUUGUACUUUUGUGGAAUAUUUGUACACAACCAAUAAUUUAGCUAAAGCAAGGGAACCUCUAGUAGGUUUGGUAUUUUUCAGUUUACAAAUAGAAUUUUGCUCUCAGCAACUCAUUGUUAGUGUUGACAUAUGGUUUUAGAGUGGGCGCUCUAGGAAUCUGAGCAAAUAAAAUCAAACUCAGGGGGAGAAAGCUUUGGUUCUGUUCUUGGACAGAAGUUUCCCACAGAAGACCUUCUACCAGCCAUUCAGAAGAUACUUGACGAAGUUGAUGAUCAUGCACAAGCUAAGUUAUUUGAACAAGCCUUCAGUUCUUCACAGUCUUCAGCAUAGAUGUUUACAAUUACUUGCAUAUACCUUAGUUUGUUCUCUUUGUUUGAGGGAAAGCAUAUUUCCAGUGUGAGGAGGUUUGGUGAGCCGUAUUUGUGACACUUUAUCUUGGGUUAUUUUCAGCUUUAAUUGUACAAAUACCAACAUAAUUCUCUGAAACUUGUGUAGCAAAUGGAGGAAAAUGAAUUCACAGGAAAAUGGAGUUUGGAAAUAACAGAAAAAUGCUGCAAAAAUGAGCUAAAAGGGAAAAAAUGGGAGUGCUAAUAGAAGAAUGGUUGAAUUCUAUCGUUGCUUGUUGCUAAGAUUCUGUUGUGAUUGCUCCAAUUAGUUAGUUUAGAAUUUCUGAAAGUUUGUUGAGAAGCUCUAUUGAAUUCCAUGUUACUGUAUAUUUUUCUAGCCUACCUAUGAUCUACUUGCAUCACUCUCUGUUUUAACCACAUUAGUUUAGAAUUUGCUAAGUUUCAUGUGAAUGUAUUUACCCCUUCAUAUGAUGUUUAUUACAUACUUCUUUUCGAAGUUGUUAAAAUCAAUUUCUAUGCUCUUAGAUUAAGUUGACUGGUCUCUAUUUUCUAGCAACUUCAUUGCUGCUGGGAAUAUGUGUGGUGCUAAAAUAUAGACAUGUAAGCAUUCUUUUAAUGGUCAAAUUGAACCUAGAAAAGAUAUUAUUUUUGUCUAUUCUUAGUUAUAUUUUUUUGACAUGGCUUUGCCAUUUUGCACACAUCCAAUGUCAAAUUCAUCAAUUAUGAGCAGUCCUUCAAAAGGUCAGUAUGCUUAUCAAAGUCAGUGAGUUUGUUCCCUAGUCUGCAUAUUUAUGAUUGACUGGAAUUGACAUUAUUUCAUAUUUGACCUGUAAAGAAUUGUACAGGUUGUUCCAUGAAGAGUGGUCCUAUCACAUUUUCUAUAAGCUCUACUUUGUGUCCCUUCUGGUCUCCAAGGUAGCCUGAGGUUAAGAAGUGCUUCUGAACGCAACUAUCUCAAUCCGAGUAAAUGUUUUCAGAUCCAAAACAUUGAUAAUGAACAAAACCUUCAUAAUCUUAUGGUCAAUGACAGGGCUUGAAUAUGCACUGUAUGGUUAGCUACACCCAUUUGUUUUUGUCGUACUCGGUCAUUAUUCAAGCACCCAACCACUUUUGUGUCUGGAGAGGUUUGAAUCUUUAGUGAAGAAACUGAUAUUUUUACUUAGCUUUCUAAUCUUUUUUAGCAUAUUUAUUAAUUAUAGCAUAUGUUUCCACCCCUUAAGUAGCCUUAGAUUCUAUAAAGAUGACCAGGAACGCCUCAAAAUGCUUGCUACAGUUUUGUGGCUGGGAAACAAAAGCACAUCGAGGUUUUUCCUGAUGAAGCUUGCUUGACGGGAGCGGGAUCCGUGCCAUUUGAACAAGUUCUUAAUUUUUUGUGUGUGCGCGCAGUGUAAAUUUUGUGUAUGAGUAUUUCGUGUGUAUAGCUCAUGUAUAUUGUGUAUAGUGUGUGGAGUUUGUUUGUCUUAUGUA